rnacentral:tRNA from 1 species
GAAGACGUCCUCUAAUUGGUUAAGACACCCCCUUCUUUGGGUGGUCAAUCUUGGUUCGAUUCCAAGCGUCUUUUC